rnacentral:rRNA from 1 species
GACGAACGCUGGCGGCGUGCUUAACACAUGCGAGUCGAACGGAAAGGCCCUGCUUUUGUGGGGUGCUCGAGUGGCGAACGGGUGAGUAACACGUGAGUAACCUGCCCUUGACUUUGGGAUAACUUCAGGAAACUGGGGCUAAUACCGGAUAGGAGCUCCUGCUGCAUGGUGGGGGUUGGAAAGUUUCGGCGGUUGGGGAUGGACUCGCGGCUUAUCAGCUUGUUGGUGGGGUAGUGGCUUACCAAGGCUUUGACGGGUAGCCGGCCUGAGAGGGGGACCGGCCACAUUGGGACUGAGAUACGGCCCAGACUCCUACGGGAGGCAGCAGUGGGGAAUAUUGCACAAUGGGCGGAAGCCUGAUGCAGCAACGCCGCGUGCGGGAUGACGGCCUUCGGGUUGUAAACCGCUUUCGCCUGUGACGAAGCGUGAGUGACGGUAAUGGGUAAAGAAGCACCGGCUAACUACGUG